rnacentral:rRNA from 1 species
AUUGAACGCUGGCGGCAGGCCUAACACAUGCAAGUCGAGCGGAUGAUGGGAGCUUGCUCCUGGAUUCAGCGGCGGACGGGUGAGUAAUGCCUAGGAAUCUGCCUGGUAGUGGGGGACAACGUUUCGAAAGGAACGCUAAUACCGCAUACGUCCUACGGGAGAAAGCAGGGGACCUUCGGGCCUUGCGCUAUCAGAUGAGCCUAGGUCGGAUUAGCUGGUUGGUGAGGUAAUGGCUCACCAAGGCGACGAUCCGUAACUGGUCUGAGAGGAUGAUCAGUGACACUGGAACUGAGACACGGUCCAGACUCCUACGGGAGGCAGCAGUGGGGAAUAUUGGACAAUGGGCGAAAGCCUGAUCCAGCCAUGCCGCGUGUGUGAAGAAGGUCUUCGGAUUGUAAAGCACUUUAAGUUGGGAGGAAGGGUUGUAGAUUAAUACUCUGCAAUUUUGACGUUACCGACAGAAUAAGCACCGGCUAACUCUGUGCCAGCCGCCGCGGUAACAC